GCUAAAUCAAAAUUUUAUUCCCACCAAUUACAUUUAACCAUUCCUCCAAGUGGCACACAUAUUUCCCACUUUCCAUUUCUCCAUCCAUCUCAUUUGAAAAGACUAAUUUUCCCUUACUUUUCUCUUUCUUCUUCCUCCUCUCUCCCGAAACCCUAGCAAUUUCCUCACUUCUCCCACUUUUCUCUUUCUUCCUCCUCAUCUCUCUCGAAACCUAGCAGCUCAGAAUAACAUUUCUCCUUUCAACAUCCUCCUUUCUAUCACAUCAGCUUCGUUCCCCUCGUCGGAGGUGUUGUUACCCUCACUUUUCAUGUUUUGAAUCUUGUACAAUCGGUCUGGUUAUAGUGAGUUAUAGUUGCGAGUUUCUUUUCCAAACUCUGGUAUAAUGAUGUUCCAGUAUCAUAAACAAGUAUCAUUUGUAACAAAUUUUUUAGGAACCGAGAAACUAAGCUUUGCUUGUAUAAAGUUUUGAUUUUUUUAUCCUAAAGUUUCAAUUUUUAUCCCAAUUUAUCACUUUAUGGUUCUUAAUUUUUUAUUGCAGCUAUAGUUUUUAGCAUAACUCUAAUGGAUUAUGAGAAAAUUUUAAUUUUGUUUAAUUUUUUCUUUCAAAAAGGUUUAUUUUUAUGCAUUUUAAGUGUUUGAUAAAAUGUCCAUGUUGAUGAAGCCAACAACAUAGCGGUGACCUGAUUUUAAGUGUUUCACAAAACUGAUUGUUACAGAUCCAUCUUUUGCUACAGAUAAUGUUGUUUCAGAAAAUUGUGAGUUUCUUACUUUCAGAAGGUCUUAGAUUCUUUGUUCUAAGACAUCAUUAUAAACUGCUCUUUCAUUGUCUUGUGACUCAACAUUUUCUAUUUGAUGAAAUUUAAAGCUUUGACAUUCAAUGGUCUUAGAGUUCUUCUGAUUGUCAAGGAAGUUGUAUGAAGGUCUUCUACUAUAACCAGUGUGACGGUAUGUUAUUGAAUAUAGAACAUCAAAUCUUAGCUGCUUAGGAUUUGUUUAUGUUUUAGAAUGGUAAGUCCUAUACCUGUAUGAAUUUUCAAGUAAAAGCGUUUAGUUUCUUUCCUCUUGAUAACUUUAUCAAUUGCCCUAGAAGUAUAAAAUAAGUAAGAACUCUAGUUUAUUAUUGUGUUGUGUCCAAUAAACUUUUGAUUGAUUCUUCUGCAAUAUCUUGACUGUGUUGUGUAGUUUUUAUUUCUUAUUGUUUCACCAUUACUUCCUCCUGUUCUAAAUAUUAGAGAAAGUUAGAUGGGUAAACAAUAAUGGAUGAAUUCAAAUCCAUUUUUUAUUCCCUUUGGUCCUUAACAAAAUGGGAUUUGUAAAACAUGUGAUGCAGUUGUUGAUCUUCAUCGUAUUGGAGCUGCUUCUGUCAUAAAGAUCUGUAUUAGAAGGGUUAUGUUAUGUUCCAAAUUUUAUGCUCUAAUUAAAUUAAAAUGUGUGCUAUUUGUCUACAGUAUAAUGGAGGAUUUAACUUUUAGCAGGUUUUGGUAUUUUCUAUAAUAUUGCUGAGUACUUGUGGAUGAGAUUCUCAUGAAAAUAAUAUUGUAGGUGAUUGCCAAGAGAUGACUGGAAUCUAAACUAAAUACAACACACUUAUAUUUAUCUACUCUAUUUGGUGCUAAUCAAUUUAUAUAAUAUUUUAUUGGAAUGUGACAUAUGUUACAUUGAAUACGGACAGAGGACAAGUAUCUUUGCAGGCGGUAUCAGCUUUCUCAUCGGAUUAAUUCUGAAUGUUUCAGCGCCUUAUCUAGCUAUGCUUAUCAUAGGUCGAAUUAUGCUUGGUGUUGGCAUUGGUUUUGAAGAUCAGCAGUUUUCCUUUACAUCAUCAUGGAAUCCCGAUAGAGUGACGUUUGCUACCGGAAACCAGGACAAAACCUGGACAGGGGUAAAGUGACGUAAUAUAGACAAUGCACUUAAACGAACAACUUGCUUUAUGUAUCCUUUUGGGGUAGGUUGUUAAUGUAUAAAUUGACACAAGAAUUUAAAGUGUGCAAUGAGAUAUAUUUAAGUUAAUGAAUUAUGAAGUUCUUGUAUAUCCCUAAAGGUGUAAGUCAUGUGCUUUUUAGAAUAUUAAAUACUGACAGGUAAUAACUGUAUAAGUUUAAUUUGCCAGGACUAUUGUAGAAGCAUCUUAUUUUUGUUUGUCUUCCAUGAAAAAAAAUUAAAUUUAAAGAUGGUUUUUCUUGCUUGCUUUAAAAGUGCUUCUCUAAGGAAGCUUCAUAGUUCUUGCAUAUACACGAAAAUGCAUUUUCUUUAUCAUUCAUAUACUUUUAUAUUUUGGAAACUUUUUGGGUUGAACCUUCUGAGUCAUUUUAAUGUGGAUAUGAAGUUAUCUUGCAUGUUAGAUUUAGUUGCUUCUUCAUUUUAUCUGUAUAAUUUAAGACGAAUAUGCCAUUGGACGAUGAGGAGGGGAUGUACAGUAGGCAGAGGUUAUACAUAAGAACACAAUUUUCUAAUUUGUAAUUACCAAUGAUAUACUACUCUUAAGGGGGGUGCUUGGAAAUGAGAACUUAGCUUAUAUCUAUUAGUUUCAAAAACAUAUUUUAUAAGACCAAUAAUUUUAUUUAAGGAAAGUUUCACUAUAGCUUAUGAUUCUCAUGAAAAUAAUGUGUUUUCAAGGAAAGUUUAUUAUGUUGCAGGUUGCGACAGCUGUCGUCGUGAUCAAGGAAAUUUUAUAAUGUGUAUUCGGGAUCGAGUCUCCUCCAAUCACCAAAUCAGGAUUUGACAUUACCAUUGCAACACAUACCCCUUUUCGUUUGGAUCAAGUAUCUGAAUCAGAUUGUGGCUGUCUAUGACAAUCUCUGUUGCUUAUGUCUUGCUCUCCGUGCUAGCUCAGAUCAACCCGUUAAGUGUUACAAGAAAUUAUUGGAUGGUAUUUUUAUGUCGCGGUCAGGUGACAUUUUCAGAUUAUUUAUGUCAUUUUUUCUCGAUAUCAACUUCCUUUGUGGGUUGUUAUUACUAUUUGACAUAACCAAUCUGUAGCUUUUAUUGGGACAAUAGAAGAGAGAUAUAGAAGUUGAAUAGAAAAGGGUAUUGCAUGAAUUAUAUGACAUAACUUCAUGCAUAUUUCUCUAUGUCUAACAAGGAUUAGCUUCGAACCCACCUUUUGAACAUGACUCAAGAAUGUCUGCAUUGACUCCCAUAAAGGGUGAAGAGCACAAUUUGAAAAUUAUUGCAAUUUUUUUUAAGUGUGAAGAACACAGUUUGUAUGUUAGUAUAAUCAAAGCCUCUCAUAUCUUAAUUAUGGUGUUAAUUUGACUUGUAGGGUAUGUGGUGCAACAUAGAAUGUUGGAGAAAGACUUCCACCCGAUGACCUAGAUAUUGAUGACUGGCUUGGUCUCGAUGAACCAGCUGACAUCUAUGUCCUCGGGGAUACUAUGUUUGAGAGGGUGUUUAAUGUCGUAUAUUCAGCUUUGUGUGGAGUUGUGCUUGGGAGAACUGGUGCUCAUGGGAAGAUGUUAGCUGAAAUGGCACUACUGAAAGUUGGGGAUGGUGCUCUGAUUGAAAGGGUAGUGGAAGGUGCUCGUGUUUUGAUUGUCGCAACAACUGUAUCAGUUGGUGUUCAUGGCUAUGGUAUAAAUAUUUGACUAGCAACAUGUGAACAUAAAUUAUUUGUUAAAUACAUGAAUAAUGUGUAAUAUUACACAUGUAUCUGUUUGUAUAUAAGAAGUGUGUAAAGUUGUAAGUUGUAUUGUAGGUUAUAUGGUUGUCUUAAACAAUGCUUUUGAUGUAAUGAACAAGAUAUGCUCCUGUAAAAAGAUGAUAUGGUUGUCUUUAGCAUAGUGCUUUUGAUGUAAUAUGUAAAUAGAUAUUUGAAUUUAUAUAAAUUACUAAUAUAUGAU